rnacentral:rRNA from 1 species
GACGAACGCUGGCGGCGUGCCUAAUACAUGCAAGUCGAACGCAGUGGGGACGGGUGAGGAAAACGUGGGUAACCUCCCAUCAGAGGGGAUAAAACUUGGAAACAGGUGCUAAACCGAUACGGGUGGAUUGACCCGCGGUGCAUUAGCGAGUUGGUGAGGUAACGGCACACCACGGCCACGAUGCAUAGCGCACCUGAGAGGGUGAUCUGCCACCCUGCGGAUGAGCCCCGGCCCAGACUCCGACGUGAGGCAGCAGUGGGGAAUCUUCGGCAAUGGACGAAAGUCUGACCGAGCAACGCCGCGUGAGUGAAGAGGUUUUUCGGAUCGUAAAACUCUGUUGUUAGAGAAGCGUUAUCUAACCAGAAAGCCACGGCUAACUACGUGCCAGCCGCCGCGGUAAUUC